GUGCUUGCUGUGGCAGCACAUAUACUAAAAUUGGAACGAUACAGAGAAGAUUAGCAUGGCUCCUGAGCAAGGAUGACACACAAAGCAGUGAAUGGAUUGAAAAAUAG